ACUCAAAGGAAUUGACGGGGGCCCGCACAAGCAGUGGAGCAUGUGGUUUAAUUGGAUGCUACGCCAAAAACCUUACCAAGACUUGACUUCCCAGAGAAAUCUCUUAGAAACAGGAGACCCCUUCGGGCUCUGGUGACAGGUGGUGCAUGGUUGUCGUCAGCUCGUGCCGUGAGGUGUUGGAUUAAGUUCCGCAACGAGCGCAACCCUCGUCGUUAGUUGCCAUCAUUCAGUUGGGCACUCUAGCGAGACCGCCGGCGUCAAGCCGGAGGAAGGUGGGGACGACGUCAAAUCAUCAUGCCCCUUACGUCUUGGGCUACACACGUGCUACAAUGGGCGGUACAACGGGUUGCCACAACGCGAGUUGGAGCGAAUCCCUUAAAGCCGUCCUCAGUUCGGAUUGCAGGCUGCAACUCGCCUGCAUGAAGCUGGAAUUGCUAGUAACCGUGGAUCAGCAUGCCGCGGUGAAUACGUACCCGGGCCUUGCACACACCGCCCGU
rnacentral:rRNA from 1 species